UACGGAGGUGGCAGGCGUUACUCGGAUUGAUUGGGUGUAAAGGGUGUGUAGGUGGCCGAUCAAGUCGAAUGUGAAAUCCCUUGGCUCAACCAAGGAACUGCAUUCGAAACUGCUCGGCUUGAGCGUCAGAGAGGAAGAUGGAAUUCACGGUGUAACAGUGAAAUGUGUAGAUAUCGUGAGGAACACCAGUGGCGAAGGCGAUCUUCUGGCUGACUGCUGACACUGAAACACGAGAGCAAGGGGAG
rnacentral:rRNA from 1 species